UGGCAGAAAAGCCCUAAGGAUAUUAAAAGAACAUUAUUCUGGAAAAAGCAAGCCAAGAAUAAUAAAUAUGUACACAUCUUUAACCAAGCUACGAAUGACGGAGAAAGAAAGUGUAACAGACUAUAUAAUAAGAGCAGAGAACAUCAUUGCAGCAUUAAGAGAUGCAGGUGAAACGAUGAGCGAUGGGCUAAUCAUAGCCAUGAUACUAGCAGGACUUCCAGAUUCAUUCAAGCCCCUAGCUAUUCAUGUGACUCAAAAUGAAGAUACGGUCACAUUUACAGACUUUAAAAGAAGACUGAGAGUCUAUGAGGAGUCAGAGAAAAUGAGCAGAGCAGAAUCUGACAACGUGAUGAAAAUGCAUGUAAAACAGAGACAAAGCACUACCAAAACUCAAGCCAUGUACAAGAAAGAUGAAAGUACCACUGUGAUAUGCUACAAGUGUGGAAUUAAGGGACACAAGGCAAGAGACUGUUUUAGGAAAGUUUGGUGUGGUUUCUGCAAAAGCAACACACACCAAGAGUCCAUGUGCAAGAAAAAGGGGAAACGAGAUGAAGCCAGAAAAGUUGCUGAUGAAGAAGAAAGCAAGCAAGAUCAUUUCUUCAAGGCAAAGUACAAGACGUGUGAAAGUACCCAGAACAAUGUGAUAAUGAAAGGCAUCAUGGUGGAUGCAGGAGCUACAUCCCACAUUGUAAACGACUUCAAGAAAUUUGAAAGUUUCGAUGACUCAUUUCAGGCUGAGACUCACUCAGUGGAGUUAGCAGAUGGAACCCAGUGCAGUGGAAUGGCGGAAGGAAGAGGGACAGCAACGAUCUACAUUCUAGACAACGCUGGACGUCAGCACAAAGCACAGCUGCGAAACGCACUCUUCAUGCCAUCAUACCCACAUGACAUCUUUUCAGUGGCAAGAGCAGCUAAUGGAGGAGCAACAAUCACCUUCAGAAAAGGAGACUGCACCAUGAUUACCAAAGAUGGUUCCAGGUUUGAUAUCCAUGAAAAUGGAAACUUGUACUACUUACCAACUGUUGAUGUAAGUACUGAUGAUCAGUGUAAAGUAUGUCACGACAUUCAAACUUGGCAUGAGAUCUUAGGCCACUGUAACUAUGAAGAUGUACGAAAGUUACAAAGUGUUGUAAAAGGUAUGGAAAUCAAAGGGUGUUUAGGAAAGCCAGAUCAGCUAUGUGAAGUUUGUACACAGGGAAAAUGUACAGAAACCAGAAACAGAGAACCAGAUGCAAAGGCCAAGCAACGAUUAGAACUUGUACAUACUGAUUUAACUGGCCCAAUGCCCACACCAAGCAUGGAAGGACACAAAUAUGCGCAGUCUUUUACCGAUGACUACUCAGGCACCAUAUUUGUAUAUUUUCUUAAGUCCAAAAGCGACACGGUGGCAGCUACUGAAAGAUUUUUGGCCGAUAUUGCACCUUAUGGAGAAGUUAAGUGCAUUCGUUCAGAUAAUGGCACUGAAUUUACCAGCAGAGAUUUCCAAACUCUGUUAACUAAGAACAGAAUCAGACAUGAAACAUCUGCACCCUACUCACCUCACCAGAAUGGCACAGCAGAAAGAGGUUGGAGGACACUAUUUGACAUGAGUAGAUGUUUACUGA
rnacentral:lncRNA from 1 species